rnacentral:rRNA from 1 species
CCCUAUGGGGUGCAGCAGGCGCGGCUGAUGAGCCAGGCGAUGCGGAAGCUAACCGGGGCGAUCAGCAAGAGCAAGACGGUGGUGAUUUUUAUCAACCAGAUCCGGGAAAAGAUCGGGGUAAUGUUCGGCAAUCCGGAAACGACACCGGGCGGGCGGGCGCUGAAGUUUUACAGUUCGGUGCGUAUCGAUAUCCGGCGGAUCAGCACGAUCAAGGAUGCCAGCGGGGCGACGGGCAACCGGGUGCGGGCGCGGGUGGUGAAAAACAAGAUCGCCCCUCCCUUCCGGGAAACGGAAUUCGACAUCAUGUUCGACGGGGGGAUCAGCACGCUGGGGGAUUUGAUCGAUCUGGCGGUGAAUGAGAAUGUGGUGGAGAAGAGCGGAGCGUUUCUGCGGUAUGGCAGCGCGGUGAUCGGGCAGGGGCGGGGGAGC